rnacentral:rRNA from 1 species
GAGGAAAAGAAACUAACAAGGAUUCCCCUAGUAACUGCGAGUGAAGCGGGAAAAGCUCAAAUUUAAAAUCUGGCGGUCUUAUGGCUGUCCGAGUUGUAAUCUAGAGAAGUGUUAUCCGCGCUGGACCGUGUACAAGUCUCCUGGAAUGGAGCAUCAUAGAGGGUGAGAAUCCCGUCUUUGACAUGGACUGCCAGGGCUUUGUGAUGCGCUCUCAAAGAGUCGAGUUGUUUGGGAAUGCAGCUCAAAAUGGGUGGUAAAUUCCAUCUAAAGCUAAAUAUUGGCGAGAGACCGAUAGCGAACAAGUACCGUGAGGGAAAGAUGAAAAGAACUUUGGAAAGAGAGUUAAACAGUACGUGAAAUUGCUGAAAGGGAAACGCUUGAAGUCAGUCGCGUCAUCCAGGGAUCAACCUUGCUUUUGCUUGGUGCACUUUCUGGUUUGAUGGGUCAGCAUCAAUUUUGACUAUUGGAAAAAGGUUAAGGGAAUGUGGCAUCUUUGGAUGUGUUAUAGCCCUUGGUCGCAUACAAUGGUUGGGAUUGAGGAACUCAGCACGCCGCAAGGCCGGGUUUUUAACCACGUACGUGCUUAGGAUGCUGGCAAUAUGGCUUUAAUCGACCCG